rnacentral:lncRNA from 1 species
CUGCAACCAAGUGCAGAUCAUUUCCACUUACUUUACCAUCUAACUGUGAAGAUUAUUAAGGAAAAGGACUUUUUCUUCUUCUCUCUUCUAACAUGUUAAACUAAGAACCUUCCCACUGUGAACUACUGGCAUCUUACUUUUUGACCCCUUGACAAGAAGAACUGGAGUUACCAAAAUGCUGUCAUUUAAGGUGUUGGAGUGGAAACCAGAACAUUACCUAUUAUCAAGAAGGGGUUUCUUCUAAGGCAUUCAGGGCACUCAGAAACAUACAUCUAAGGAAAGAUUCACUUAAAAACCAGCCAAGACACAGUCAUAUAAUUGGGAUCUCCAGGGCCCUGAGUAAAGACAGUCUCCUCCCACUUCAUCGUCGGUAAAUCAAACUCUCCACAGAUGGGCAUUUCCAGGUUUUCCUGUGAGUUUCUUGCACCUACAGAGCCUGGCCAAAUACUACAAUCCUG